rnacentral:rRNA from 1 species
UCCUGGCUUAGGAUGAACGCUGGCGGCGUGCUUAACACAUGCAAGUCGAACGAAGCUCCGACUUGGAAUUCUCGGAAGGAAGAGGAGGAAGACUUAGUGGCGGACGGGUGAGUAACGCGUGGGCAACCAACCCCGUACAGGGGAACAACGGCGGGAAACUGCCGCUAAUGCCGCAUAGACCGCAGCGGCGCAUGGCGCUGCGGGGAAAGCUCCGGCGGUACGGGACGGGCCCGCGUCUGAUUAGCUAGUUGGCGGGCAACGGCUCACCAAGGCGACGAUCAGUAGCCGACCUGAGAGGGUGGCCGGCCACAUUGGGACUGAGACACGGCCCAAACUCCUACGGGAGGCAGCAGUGGGGAAUAUUGCACAAUGGGCGCAAGCCUGAUGCAGCGACGCCGCGUGGGCGAUGAAGUAUUUCGGUACGUAAAGCCCUAUCAGCAGGGAAGAACAAUGACGGUACCUGACUAAGAAGCUCCGGCUAAAUACGUGCCAGCAGCCGC